GACGAACGCUGGCGGCGUGCUUAACACAUGCAAGUCGGGCGGAAAGGCCCCUUUUGGGGUGCUCGAGCGGCGAACGGGUGAGUAACACGUGAGUAACCUGCCUUUGGCUUUGGGAUAACCCUCGGAAACGGGGGCUAAUACCGGAUGUGACCUUCCACCGCAUGGUGGGGGGUGGAAAGUUUUUUCGGCUGAAGAUGGGCUCGCGGCCUAUCAGCUUGUUGGUGGGGUGAUGGCCUACCAAGGCGGUGACGGGUAGCCGGCCUGAGAGGGCGACCGGCCACACUGGGACUGAGACACGGUCCAGACUCCUACGGGAGGCAGCAGUGGGGAAUAUUGCACAAUGGGCGCAAGCCUGAUGCAGCGACGCCGCGUGGGGGAUGACGGCCUUCGGGUUAUAAACCUCUUUCGGUAGGGACGAAGCCGUGAGGUGACGGUACCUGCAGAAGAAGCGCCGGCCAACUACGUGCCAGCAGCCGCGGUAAAAC
rnacentral:rRNA from 1 species